rnacentral:rRNA from 1 species
CUACGGGGCGCUGCAGUGAGGAAUUUUGCGCAAUGGGGGAAACCCUGACGCAGCAACGCCGCGUGAGUGAAGAAGGCCCUUGGGUCGUAAAGCUCUGUCAAUGGGGAAGAAGUUACUUGGUAUUAAUAGUGCCUUGUAUUGACGGUACCCAUGAAGGAAGCACCGGCUAACUCCGUGCCAGCAGCCGCGGUAAUACGGGGGGUGCAAGCGUUAUUCGGAAUUAUUGGGCGUAAAGGGCACGCAGGCGGUCCUGUCAGUCAGAUGUGAAAGCCCGGGGCUCAACCCCGGACGUGCAUUUGAAACAGCAGGACUUGAGUACGGGAGAGGAAAGGGGAAUUCCUGGUGUAGAGGUGAAAUGCGUAGAUAUCAGAAGGAAUACCAAUGGCGAAGGCAGCUAUCUGGACUAAUACUGACACUGAGGCACGAAAGCGUGGGGAGCAAAAGGGAUUAGAUACCCGGGUAGUC